rnacentral:rRNA from 1 species
GACGAACGCUGGCGGCGUGCUUAACACAUGCAAGUCGUACGGUAAGGCCCUUUUGGGGGUACACGAGUGGCGAACGGGUGAGUAAAACGUGAGUAACCGGCCCCCAACUUUGGGAUAACGCUAGGAAACUGGUGCUAAUACUGGAUAUGUGCCCCUGCUUCAAGGCGGGGGUUGGAAAGCUCCGGCGGUUGUGGAUGGACUGGCGGCCUAUCAGCUUGUUGGUGGGGUAGUGGCCUACCAAGGCGGCGAGGGGUAGCCGGCCUGAGAAGGUGACCGGCCACACUGGGACUGAGAGGCGGCCCAGACGCCUACGGGAGGCAGCAGUGGGAAAGAUUGAACAAGGGGCGCAAGCCUGAUGCAGCAAGGCCGCGUGCGGGAUGACGGACUUCGGGUUGUAGACCGCUUUCAGCAGGGACGAAGCUUUUUGUGACGGUACCUGCAGAAGAAGCACCGGCUAACUACGUG